rnacentral:rRNA from 1 species
UAAACGUGCAUUGCCUUAGUAGCGGCGAGUGAAGCGGCAAAAGCUCAAAUUUGAAAUCUGGCUCUUUCAGAGUCCGAGUUGUAAUUUGAAGAAGGUAUCUUUGGGUCUGGCUCUUGUCUAUGUUUCUUGGAACAGAACGUCACAGAGGGUGAGAAUCCCGUGCGAUGAGAUGAUCCAGGCCUAUGUAAAGUUCCUUCGAAGAGUCGAGUUGUUUGGGAAUGCAGCUCUAAGUGGGUGGUAAAUUCCAUCUAAAGCUAAAUAUUGGCGAGAGACCGAUAGCGAACAAGUACAGUGAUGGAAAGAUGAAAAGAACUUUGAAAAGAGAGUGAAAAAGUACGUGAAAUUGUUGAAAGGGAAGGGCUUGAGAUCAGACUUGGUAUUUUGUAUGUUACUUCUUCGGGGGUGGCCUCUACAGUUUAUCGGGCCAGCAUCAGUUUGGGCGGUAGGAGAAUUGCGUUGGAAUGUGGCACGGCUUCGGUUGUGUGUUAUAGCCUUCGUCGAUACUGCCAGCCUAGACUGAGGACUGCGGUUUAUACCUAGGAUGUUGGCAUAAUGAUCUUAAGUCGCCCGUCUUGAAACCACGGAC